AGCCAUGGAAAAGAUCUGCCCUGCCGACGUAUAGUUAAACAUGACGCUAAUGGGCUUCACGGCUUGAACAGUGGAGACAGAAGUGGCCGAGGGUUGUUGAAACUGAACACUGAUGCUACAUGGCUGGCAUGGACCAUUACUUAGAAUCCCAAUGGGCAGUGGGUGCCAUGUUAGCUGAUCAGAUGCUGAACUGGAAGUGGAUACAGAGAGACUUUCUUCGCUGUAACUGGGAAACAUAUCCGCCUUCUCCACCCAGAUUGCCUUGCCUGUUGCUUCAGUGACACAGGAAUGACAGCUGUGGAGCUCAGUCUCUGUCCUGGCCAGUGUUCAAGGGUCUUCCACCUGGCUUUCACCCUCUCCCCGGCUGGAUCCAGGGUUCUGCUGUCCUUAUCCUACAGCCAGGACCAGCCUACUGCUUGAGAAGGCCCAAAGGGGGCCGGCUCUCAGAGCCGCCCUACAGCCAUACUGAUGUGUUUGUCUCCCUGGAGGACUGGACUCCAUGUCAAACAGACGAUCCCAGCAGACCUGCUUCCCAGUCAUGUUAUGCUGCACUGCACCC